UGGAUGAGUGAUAAGUCCGAUAUAGGUUGUUUCUAGUGUUCCCAUUCAUCUGUUUGGCAAUAGCUAGGACGAAACAAACCUAUAAGGCAAUCUCAUCCU
rnacentral:sRNA from 1 species